ensembl:lncRNA
CUUAAGGCAAGGGGUGUGGAAAGGGGGGCCAGAAAGGGAGAAGGAAAGGGAGAAAUCCAAAGCCCAAGAAGAGCUACUGGACUACUGUUGGAGGAUUUUUGUUGCACUGUUUCUCUCCCUUGUGUCCUGUUGCAGCGAGUGUGACCAGGAGAGAAUGAAGAGAAACAGCAGCAAGAGUGUACAACUCGUGAGCCUUGAUGAGAUGAUCCUGGUAUUGAAGACAUUUCACGAUAAACAUGUGGCCAAAAUUAAAUGGCUGAAUUGCCCACGUCACAAACAGAU